UUUCUCUCUCACUUCCUCACUCUCUCUAAACUAGGGUACGCUUCUCUCUGGUUCUCUCUCUCUCGGCUCUCUUGUCUCUUCUCUCUCAAAAAUUGUUCAAGUAACGGCGGAGUGGUCAAUUUCACUGAAUUUGAGGUAAAAAUUUGUUCAAGUACAUGGUCGCUCUUCUUAUGUUACAAGCUAAAGUAUGUAGAACGAACCCUCAAAGCACUUGUUAUUAAGUGUUUCGUUGCAAUGCACAAUUGUGCUAUAUGGAUGGUGAGUACAUGUAUGUAUUUUUCAGAAUAUCUGCUUGUUUCUUCUUUCGCAAUUGCUUUUUUCUACGAGAAAGAAAAUUUGUUCAACUUUAUUGACCUGACGCUCUUUUGGUUUGAUGAAAUGCCCAUUUAGUUUGUUCCAAAUGCUGUGAAACUUUGGUUUUUGGUUUUCUAUAUCUGAGUAUCUGAGGCAGUGGUAAGGUCUUCGGACGUUCUGAGUUAGUGAUUCGAGUUUACAAGGAUCCAAUUAGUGGAAGGGUAAAACUUGCAACCACCGAUACAACUGAUGAGAAAAUCAAUGGCAUCAAAAGGUCAUGGUAAUGGACGGCGUAAGAAAGGUAAUAAAGGACUUGAUAAUCUUCCCGCAGGUCAAUAUACAACACCACCACCACCACCUGUUACCACAACUCUUCAACCAGCUACUACAAAUAUUCUUCCUCCUCCAAGGGCAACUAUUUCACUACCAAAUGCAUUUUUCAUGCCCCUAUUGGCCCACCAGUUCCAACCCUCUUCUCCCCAUAAUAGUCUACAUAGUAGCUCUUCAUCUGUGUACCUUCAACACCAUCCAACCUAUCCUUUCUGGAUUGAGAAUUAGAGGCCCUAGCACAUCAACAUCGUCAUGCAUUGAUAGUGCUACAACGUGUAAUGCUACAACAGCUGCUUCCCAUAUUCUGAAAUUUAAAGAGGUAGUAGAAUAUGACGGCAACGGGAGGCUAAUUAUCGCCCCUGAUGGUUUAUUCCCACGUGUAGCGGCGGACAUAUGGUUAUAGAAGCAAUUAAACCAUUUUACACGAAGCCGUGGGGUAGCUGGAACGAGAUUCGACUCGACGUCAGAAUUCUUAUGUGGAACCAGUUUAUGACAAAGUGUGCAUGGAAUUCUUGUCAUGAAAAUGAAAUACAACGCAUUUCAAGUUGAAAGCAGCUCUAUGGAUCAAAGAACACUUGUAUGAGGCCCGGAGGAACUUGGAAAAACCUGGUUGACUGAAUGCUGAUGUGUGGGUCUAGUUCUUGGAAAAAUGGGAUACUCUUGAAUAUAGGGCGAGGAGGGAACGGGCAAAGGCAAAUAGAGUGUCUUAAAUGAGUGGCUCGUUGAACACAAGAGGUUUGAUGAGUUUCGCUACCCACCAACGUUGACUCGUAGUAUUAGUUUACAUUUCUGAUUUGUUUGGUUUAGUUCAAUAUUUUAAACCGUGACAUAGUGAAGUCGUGUGGGGCUUUUUCGAUUCAUUAUUGUUAUCUUCUUCUUGUUGUUCAUCUUGAAGUCUAGUGAAGCUGUGUGUGGCCUAUUUCGAUUCA